rnacentral:sRNA from 1 species
CCUUCGGAGUGUCAAACAAACGAGAGUAGCUUCGGCAAAAUCGGACACAAUGAACAAGGAA